ACAUACAAAUAAAUCCUCAUCAUAAUUAUUGAUACGUUAUUUUACAACAAUGGUGAGGACUACUAAACAACUCUCCCUAGAACCUUCAUUCCAUACCCCGACUCGUACUCGCUAUAUUCUCGCCUCCUGAGAAAAAAAAUGGAACAAAAAGGAAAAGGGUGAGCUCGACUAGCCCAGUAAAGAAUAUUAUGACUAAGAUAAUAUACAACAAAAUUAUCGUUAGUCUUCAACAGGAAAAAAUAUAAUAGAAUACAAUAGACAACAAGUUUUAAAUCAAUAUUCGCAGCGGAAAUAAUAAUACAUUAGAAGAGUUAAGUAGAGAAUGCAAACUACUAUCUUCUAUGUAUGAAUUUUAAAGUUCAUCGUCUAUUUUUUUUAUCCCUGUAACAUCAAUCAAUAUAUAUCUGGGAUCAAAUAUUCAUCCUUGUACUACAUGCCAAGGACAUUCACCAGUUGGUCAUGUUCAUCUAACCACCUGUUCAUCUUUGCACUACGGGCCAAAGAUAUUCAAUAAUAUCAUCAUUUAAGACUGAGGAUGAUGAAAAAUAUUUUUAAAGAAACGAAUCCAGUGAAACAAAAUGACAAGGAUUAAGGAUUCGUACUUUGUUUUAUCCAUGUCCAAAAAUACAUCAAAAAUAAUCAUAGUGGUGUAAAAUUCAAGAAUGAUCAAAACAUGGAUACAAUCAAAGCUAGUAUCCACAAUAGAUAUUUUAGACGAAAAGGAAAAUUUUCAUUUUUCGAUGAAUAGUGCCGUAUACGUGAAUAGUAACUCCGACACCAAAAGUUCCAAAUUUGAUAAAAACUUCAGAUCAAUAUUU
rnacentral:lncRNA from 1 species